rnacentral:tRNA from 1 species
GCGGGGUUCGCUUUCUGGGAGAGCGCCUGCCCUACAAGCAGGACGAGCUGGGUUCGAUUCCCAGGCCCCGCACCA